UAAACUGAGAGUUUGAUCCUAGCUCAGGGUGAAUGCUGGCGGUGUGGAUAGGGCAUGCAAGUCAAGGGGACCGCAAGGUAAC
rnacentral:ncRNA from 1 species